AGCUGUUUUGGGACUACAACUCCCAUCUUCCCUGGCUAGCAGGCCCAGUGGUCAGGGAUGAUGGGAAUUGUAGUCCCAACACAGCU
rnacentral:miRNA from 1 species